rnacentral:rRNA from 1 species
CACGUAGGUGGGUCGUUAAGUCGGGGUGAAAUCCCAGAGCUCAACUCUGGAACUGCCUUCGAUACUGGCGACCUUCGAGUUCGGGAGAGGUGAGUGGAACUGUGAGUGUAGAGGUGAAAUUCGUAGAUAUUCGCAAGAACACCAGUGGCGAAGGCGGCUCACUGGCCCGAUACUGACACUGAGGUGCGAAAGCGUGGGGAGCAAACA